GACAUGAAAAACCCCCUGGAUUUUGGAGGGUGUGUCUAUGUGUGUGUGCACGUGUGUGGGUGUGUGUAAGGCUGACUUUCAUAUGUGCAUGUCACUGACUAUGUUUGGAAGGAAUGUACAUGAGUUCUUUCUUCCACAAUGAAGGUGACUGGUGCUCACUAGAUAUUUCUUGGGAGCAGAAUCUGAACACACAAUCCCUGCAAGGUGGCUUUGAAGGAAGUGGGCACACUGGGACAGCUGUUGGUGAUUUCCUCCCAAGCUCCAACACAUGCCUACUGGGCUGUCCCCUGACCCAGGCUGAUCCAAGCGCUGCACCUCCUUCCAUUAGCCCCGUGAUUGAUCCAAGCUGGGUAGGGUCCUUGGGUAGUGUGGCCAGGAUAACGUAGCCAUUCUCAGAGGCUGAGCUCUGGAGUCUCUCCUUCAUUUGGGAAGUGGUGUGGAGUUACUGUUUUUUUGAAGCAGCAACAGGAUCCACGCUUCUUACUCCAGCUUAGGAGGUGGUGAGAGUAACAGGCCACAGCAGUGACCAUAAGCAUGGACAGGAGGCUGCAGAGGAGAGCCAUGAGCCUGCAGGAGAAGCAGUGUUGUGAGGGCCCUGGGGGGCCAAUGGUGCGGGUAUAGCUCCGAACCCGGGCUGGGGCCAUCUGCAGGAGCAGUGAGCCAGGAAGAUAUGUGCCAAGUUGGACAUACUGAAUCUGAAGUGUCAGAGGAACAGAGAGGCCAACGUUUCCCCCCAAGUGUCCUCCGGGAGGUCUGUCACCAGAGAGAGCCAUCCCGGGAGCAGGUGCUUUACUAGGCAGCUUCCUUCAGAUCAUAAGGACACUGAGAGGAAGUGGGCACACUGGGACAGCUGUUGGCGAUUUCCUCCCAAGCUCCAACACACGCCCACUGGGCUGUCCCCUGACCCAGGCGGAUCCAAGUGCAGCACCGCCUCCCAUCACCUCCACGACUGGUCCACGCUGGGCAGGGUCCUUGGCUAAGGAAUCAAGUUCCCUGCAAACAUCUUCAGUGGAGGCUCAAAGGGCAAAGGUUUUUCAUCUGAAAAGAUCCGAGUCUAGAGCAUGUUCCUGGCCAUCAAAUGCUGCCCUUUUUUGGAAGGAGAGGAUGAAACCAAUUUUCAGAGUCGGCAAAGAGGAGAACCUGGCAGUCCCGGUGGAGAUCCAGCCCUGAACCCAGCCAGCUCUGAGGCCCGGCCUUUCCUCCACUGGGCUCCAGGAGCUAAUAGAGCCCCUUUUUGGAUGAAGCAAGUUCAAGCUGAGUUUCCAUCACUUGCAACUUAAGGAGUUCUGAGGGGUGUCAUAUUGCCAUCCCAAUUUUACUGAGAGAGGAACUGAUGCUCAGAGAAGUUAGCUAAGUCCUGUGUGAUCACAAGAACACUUUAGAGCACAAGCUUUGGAACCUGAGUCUGCGUGGACUCCAUAGCCAGCGUUCUUUUCUUUAUACCAUUUGCCUCUCAACUAGUCCCACAACCGGGGCGCUCAAGAGAAGAGGUAAAUAAACAGAUGUGUUUGGAUCUCUGCA
ensembl:lncRNA